GUGUAUGGCCAUGCCACCCUGAACAUGCCCGCUCUCGUCUGAUCUCAGAAGCUAAGCAGGAUAGGGCCUGGUUAGUACUUGGAUGGGAGACCACCUAGGAAGACCAGGGCUGUAGGUG
rnacentral:rRNA from 1 species